GCCAUCGGCCAUACCACGCUGAAUGCGCCGGUUCUCGUCCGAUCACCGAAGCUAAGCAACAUCGGGCUCCGUCAGUAUUGGGGGGAGGGAGGAACACGGAGUGCUGAUGGCA
rnacentral:rRNA from 1 species